AGAAAAAAGUCACUGGAUGUUGGAAAACGACUAUAAAGUGAAACAUCCCAUUAAGAAGAAGAAAAAGAGCAGCUUAAAACCAAGUGAAGUCCCUGAAGUGGUAUAGGCUGACAGCAUACAGAAGAGAAAGGGACAGCUCCUCCUAAGCCUGUUGAUCAAGGAUCGGAUGUCUAUUGGAAGUGAUAUUGGGAGUCAUUGUAAAUGAAGGAUGAGCUGAACUAAAUGUUAGCCAUUGAUCAGUAAAGAAAUCCUUCAGUCAUGACAAUAAGCACUGUUGACAGACUGCAUCCCAGUGAAGUGACUUUGGCACCUUAUGUUAUUCCCUCAUUGCGUGACUAUAAAAUGAAGCAUUGCUUCUGUCAGGUACUGAAAGCAGGAGAUAAAUGGUGUGUUAACUAAAAUGUCCAAUAUUCCAACCAUGUAUUUUUUAAGUGCAUUCCGAUAUACUUGUGUUUAUUUAUAGGUUAUGUGCAUUUCAGAAAAAAUAUGGUAUACAUCUAUUUUACUAAUUAC